AUUGAACGCUGGCGGCAUGCUUUACACAUGCAAGUCGAACGGUAACAGGUUAAGCUGACGAGUGGCGAACAGGUGAGUAGUGCAUCGGAACGUGCCCGAUCGUGGGGGAUAACGCAGCGAAAGCUGCGCUAAUACCGCAUACGAUCUGAGGAUGAAAGCGGGGGACCGUAAGGCCUCGCGCGAUCGGAGCGGCCGAUGUCAGAUUAGGUAGUUGGUGGGGUAAAGGCUCACCAAGCCAACGAUCUGUAGCUGGUCGGAGAGGACGACCAGCCACACUGGGACUGAGACACGGCCCAGACUCCUACGGGAGGCAGCAGUGGGGAAUUUUGGACAAUGGGCGAAAGCCUGAUCCAGCAAUGCCGCGUGCAGGAAGAAGGCCUUCGGGUUGUAAACUGCUUUUGUACGGAGCGAAAAAGCUCUCUCUAAUACAGGGGGCUCAUGACAGUACCGUAAGAAUAAGCACCGGCUAACUACGUGCCAGCCGCCGCCGUAA
rnacentral:rRNA from 1 species